rnacentral:rRNA from 1 species
UACGUAGGUGGCAAGCGAUACUCGGAAUCACUAGGCGUAAAGCGCAGGUAGGCGGUUCGGUACGUCUUUUGUGAAAGCUCCCGGCUUAACUGGGAGAGGUCAAGGGAAACUACCGGGCUAGAAAGUGGCAGAGGAAACUGGAAUUCCCGGUGUAGCGGUGAAAUGCGUAGAUAUCGUCUGGAACGCCAAAGGUGAAAACAGCUCGCUGGGGUUGUGCUGACGCUGAGACACGAAAGCCAGGGGAGCGAACGGG